GAUGAACGCUGGCGGUGUGCCUAAUACAUGCAAGUCGAGCGAACAGACGAGGAGCUUACUCCUCUGACGUUAGCGGCGGACGGGUGAGUAACACGUGGAUAACCUACCUAUAAGACUGGGAUAACUUCGGGAAACCGGAGCUAAUACCGGAUAACAUGUUGAACCGCAUGGUUCAACAGUGAAAGACGGUCUUGCUGUCACUUAUAGAUGGAUCCGCGUCGCAUUAGCUAGUUGGUAAGGUAACGGCUUACCAAGGCAACGAUGCGUAGCCGACCUGAGAGGGUGAUCGGCCACACUGGAACUGAGACACGGUCCAGACUCCUACGGGAGGCAGCAGUAGGGAAUCUUCCGAAAUGGGCGAAAGCCUGACGGAGCAACGCCGCGUGAGUGAAGAAGGUCUUCGGAUCGUAAAACUCUGUUAUUAGGGAAGAACAAAUGUGUAAGUAACUAUGCACGUCUUGACGGUACCUAAUCAGAAAGCCACGGCUAACUACGU
rnacentral:rRNA from 1 species